rnacentral:tRNA from 6 species
GCCCGAGUGGCGGAAUGGUAGACGCAGCGGAUUCAAAAUCCGCCGCCGCAAGGCGUGUCGGUUCGAGUCCGACCUCGGGCACCA